rnacentral:rRNA from 1 species
GAUGAACGCUGGCGGCGUGCUUAACACAUGCAAGUCGAACGGUGAAGGCGGAGCUUGCUCUGCUGGAUCAGUGGCGAACGGGUGAGUAACACGUGAGCAAUCUGCCCCUGACUCUGGGAUAAGCGCUGGAAACGGCGUCUAAUACUGGAUACGAGCUGCGAAGGCAUCUUCAGCAGCUGGAAAGAAUUUCGGUCAGGGAUGAGCUCGCGGCCUAUCAGCUUGUUGGUGAGGUGAUGGCUCACCAAGGCGUCGACGGGUAGCCGGCCUGAGAGGGUGACCGGCCACACUGGGACUGAGACACGGCCCAGACUCCUACGGGAGGCAGCAGUGGGGAAUAUUGCACAAUGGGCGAAAGCCUGAUGCAGCAACGCCGCGUGAGGGACGACGGCCUUCGGGUUGUAAACCUCUUUUAGCAGGGAAGAAGCGAAAGUGACGGUACCUGCAGAAAAAGCGCCGGCUAACUACGUG